GGAGAGACUCAUCAGAAUAACCCUUCACUGUGAUACGAUCAUGACUUCCCUUCUGCAGGUGAAGUAAUGAAAGCAUGAACCAAAGUUCACAGGAAGUUAGUCCGCGGGCUAUGCUGUUUUCAUUGCACUGUAUUUCUUACUUGGGAACCCAGGAAAACCUCAUUUCUACAUCUUUAACAUCCCUGCAAUAAGAUGCACAAAAGGUCAAAAUGACUGAAGAAUCGUAUUAUAAUUCUGGUGCCAAGAUAGACCUCCAUCCCUGUCUUUUAAAAAGAAGGCAGUGGUCUCAUGGGUCGGGAACGAGGAAUGACAUCUGUGGGAAAAGGUUGCAAGUCAAGCACAGAUAGAAGGCGAUACCAGCCGGGAAUCUCCCUUGCCAGUGGCCGCUGAUGCAGCGUAGUCCUCCCUCUGCAGAUUCUGACAGUUCCGCACUUCCUUCUGAGGCCCCAGUGCCAUUCAGAGGCAAGUGGCUGCCCCACUCAGCUGGGUCGUGAAGGACUUGAAGCACACGGCUGAGUGGAAAGACUCUGAAGGGUUGUGGGUUCGAUCCCUGGUCUGGGAAGAUUCCCGAAUGCUGUGGGGCAGCUGCAAACCACAGCUACUGAAGCCAACUGCACUAAAGGCUGUGCACUGCGACAAGAGAAACCACCGCAUCAGAAACCUUUGCACCACAACUAGAGUAGUCCCCACUCACCACAACUAGAGGAAGCCCUCAAGCAUCAACCAAAACCCAGUACAGCAAAAAAAUAAGUAAUUUAACAAAAUAAUAACUGGAACUCUGGACAAAUCAGAAUUACUAAUGCUUGUGGUUACCAGGCAGACCACACUUGUAGGAGUUUGUUGAAUACACUGUU